UCAGCCAACUACAAGCGCCCGUAAAAAGGAAGAGUAUUUAACUAUUCCAUUUCCUCUUGGUAAACUUAACGCUGGCAAAAAAACCAGCCUACUGGCGAACCCCCACCAUCUUCAAUAAACUCAGGAAUAAAAAGAUAUGAGGAAAGAUCAAGAAAAGAAAGGGGUGUAUAAAAUACUAGUCGCUUACAUUGACACCCAGCAACAGCUGUCUUACAUAGGAAUUACCACAGGGAUCUUAGAUCAAAGACUAAAAGAGCAUAAAAAUGAUAUUUCUGUGAGAUCCCAGAAAAAUCUCCAUAAAAUAAAUAAGAAAAUAUACAACAAAUGUAGAACAAUUGAUGUUAACCCAUCUUGUC
rnacentral:lncRNA from 1 species